rnacentral:rRNA from 1 species
GAUGAACGCUGGCGGCGUGCCUAAUACAUGCAAGUCGAGCGAACGGACGAGAAGCUUGCUUCUCUGAUGUUAGCGGCGGACGGGUGAGUAACACGUGGAUAACCUACCUAUAAGACUGGGAUAACUUCGGGAAACCGGAGCUAGUACCGGAUGAUAUUUUGAACCGCAUGGUUCAAAAGUGAAAGACGGUCUUGCUGUCACUUAUAGAUGGAUCCGCGCUGCAUUAGCUAGUUGGUAAGGUAACGGCUUACCAAGGCAACGAUGCAUAGCCGACCUGAGAGGGUGAUCGGCCACACUGGAACUGAGACACGGUCCAGACUCCUACGGGAGGCAGCAGUAGGGAAUCUUCCGCAAUGGGCGAAAGCCUGACGGAGCAACGCCGCGUGAGUGAUGAAGGUCUUCGGAUCGUAAAACUCUGUUAUUAGGGAAGAACAUAUGUGUAAGUAACUGUGCACAUCCUGACGGUACCUAAUCAGAAAGCCACGGCUAACUACGUG